rnacentral:rRNA from 1 species
UACGGGGGGAGCAAGCGUUGUUCGGAUUUACUGGGCGUAAAGCGUGCGCAGGCGGCUUUGCAAGACAGAUGUGAAAUCCCCGGGCUUAACCUGGGAACUGCAUUUGUGACUGCAAGGCUGGAGUGCGGCAGAGGGGGAUGGAAUUCCGCGUGUAGCAGUGAAAUGCGUAGAUAUGCGGAGGAACACCGAUGGCGAAGGCAAUCCCCUGGGCCUGUACUGACGCUCAUGCACGAAAGCGUGGGGAGCAAACAGG